ACCUUUGUGCUCCAAGGGGUCUGCAAGCAGAUGGUAAGCUAUGGGGAAGGUAUGUGAGCCAGUGUUCCAGGGAGGAAACGUCUGAGAUGCAGACACAGAACUGUUGAUCAGUAGGUAAAGAAAUACUAAGAAACUUGCCUUAGACUGCAACCUUUAUCUAAUUAACCUUUUUCCAAAUCCCUUACCUACAGUUUUCUUGUCUUUAUAAAAAGGUAUGCUUGAGAUGAGAUGUUAAGAUGGUUUUUAGGGCACAUAACCUACCGUCUUCUCAGAUCCCCACUGUCUGAAUAAAGUGUCCCAGCGCUCCGCCAGGGCAUCCUCCCUGCCUCAGUUCUAAUCUCAGAGCAGGCGCGGUAGCCUCAGCCUUCCUUGUUAGUCCCAGAGGGCUUCUCUGGAGUCCCACCGCCAGCCCCAGGCGCUUCCUCCCCGCGCACCCCGGCCCCAGGCCAGAGUCUCCUUAACCAGAGACUGCAGUGGCCACCUGAGCGUGAUGAAAAGCAGCCGCGAACGGAAAGAACUGACAGGUCUCGAUGGAGGGAGCCAGGUCUCCAGAGGAAGAGGAAAAGCUGAGGGAGCACCGAGGUUUGCUGUAGGCAGCGUGCGGGAGUUACGCGGGGAAGGGGAGGGCCGAGGGUGGCAGAGGAGGGGCGUGGUGCAAACUCUUGAGGUUUGCCCAAGGCCACAGCUUCGGAGUUGCCGCGAGGAAGUUGGUGGAGCCGCAGCGGUGGCGAUUGGGGAAGAAAAAGGCCAAGCGGCGCCUGUGAGUGAGGACGGCGGGAGGCGACCGAGCUGGAGGAGAAAACCCUGGAGGCAGUCGCCGCUCUCCGCUGGGCUGAAAGGGAACGCGCCUUGUUGCGCCGCCUCCCCCAGGGCGGAGCGCGAGCGAGCGAGGCAGCGGCUAGCGUUGAGGGCGCGCAGGACCGGGUCGCAGCGUGUAAACGCGGCGAGUGUGCGUGUGCCUCUCACCGCCGGUUCGCCUGGUGGGUCUCCCGCGGGAGGGGUGCUGCGGAGCGUUUUCUUCCUUCCCCUCAAGGUGUUUCGUGUCGCCGUCUCGCUUCCUGUUUUUCAGCUGUCACGACCAGAGAAAGGACUUGCAGUCUUACCAGAGGGUUGGUGUUUUUAUAGGUUCUUUAGUAUUCAUCAAAGACUCACCCCAGUAGCAGUGAUCACAGACAUGAAAAAAUGUGAGACACCACAGAUCCUUCACCACCAAAUAAAAUGUUGUGGAAAUCUGAUAAUCCUGAAACAAAUCUGGUGAAAGCACAAAGAUGCUGCAGGAGUUUCAAAGAACUCUAACGAGAGAACUAAAAAAAGAUGCUGCUGAAUUUGAAUCUGAAUACUAUAGAUCUCAUAUCAAGACCUACUUUUGAAGACAUCACAUGAAUGUGCAAAGAUUUUGGAGAGAAAAAUAGUAAUUUAUUUACUAGACUGUUUACAUGAUGUCUUAAUUGUUUUCCAUUAAACUCAUGAUAUAUGAA